rnacentral:lncRNA from 12 species
CCCCCCCCCCCCCCCCCCCCCCCCCCCCCCCCCCCCCCCCCCCCCCCCCCCCCCCCCCCCACCACUGGGACACCCCUGGGACACCCCUGGGACCACUGAGACACCCCUGGGACACCCCUGGGACCACUGGGACACCCCCAGGACCACCAGGACUCCUGGGACCCCCGGGUUAUGGGCGCCCUGGGACCCCCCCUGGGACACCCAGCACCCCAGGGACCACCAGGACACCCCUGGGACCACUGAGAUACCCCUGGGACCACCAGGACACCCCGAGUUAGGGACACCCCCGGGACCCCUGAGACACCUGGGACCCCCCCAGGACCCCCGGGUCAUGGACACCCUGUGGGACCCCCACCCAAGGGCCCCCACUGGCACUCCCCUUCGGGUUCCCAGAGGUUUUGAGGGGGGUCCAUGGAUGUAUUCACAGGAUUUUGGGGGGGUCUGGGGGGGUUUCAGGUCUCUGUAGGAUCUCAGGGUGUCUGCAUUGUAUUUCGGGGUGUCUAUAGGAUUCUGGGGUGCCUAUAGGAUUUCGGGUUGUCUGUAUGAUUUUGGGGGGUCUAGAAGAUAUUGGGAUAUCUGUCUGUAGGAUUCAGGGGUGUCUGUAUGAUUUUGGGGUGUCUGUCUGUAAGAUCUCGGGGUGUCUGUAUGAUUUCGGGGUGUCUGUCAGAUUUGGGGGUGUCUGUCUGUACGAUUUCGGGGUGUCUGUCAGAUUUGGGGGUGUCUGUAGGAUUCCGGAUCAGAUCUCGGGGUGCCUGUCAGAUUCGGGGGUGCCUGUCAGUCAGAUUUGGGGGUGUCUGUCAGAUUUGGGGGUGUCUGUCAGAUUCGGGGGUGCCUGUCAGUGUGAUCUCGGGGCGCCCCGCAGGUGUUCCGCUCCGGGGAGGGGAUGGGGAUCCGCCUGGACGGCGCCUCGGACGGCGCUGAUCUCGGGGUGUCUGUAGGAUUCGGGGGUGUCUGUCUGUCAGAUUCCGGGGUGUCUGUCUGUCAGAUCUCGGGGUGCCUGUCAGAUUCUGGGGUGUCUGUCUGUCAGAUUCGGGGGUGUCUGUCAGAUUCUGGGGUGUCUGUCAGAUUUGGGGGUGUCUGUCAGAUUUGGGGGUGUCUGUCAGAUUCGGGGGUGCCUGUCAGUGUGAUCUCGGGGCGCCCCGCAGGUGUUCCGCUCCGGGGAGGGGAUGGGGAUCCGCCUGGACGGCGCCUCGGCGUUCCAGGGCGCGCUGAUCUCGGGGUGCCUGUCAGAUUCUGGGGUGUCUGUCUGUCAGAUUCGGGGGUGUCUGUCAGAUUCUGGGGUGUCUG